UUAAGAGUUGAAAAAAAAAUCAGUAUCCUGUUUGAAGCCGAGAAUAACUGAGGAAGACACAUUUAAGAGAUUUGGGAUUCAAUUUAGUGGCUUGUGGAGAACAUAUCGCACAAAACAAGUAAUACUAAAUAUACGUGGUUCAAGGGGAAAGAAAGCAUUAGGGGGAAACAAAACAUUAUGAGGAAUUUCACGAUUUAGGACAAAAGAAGACAUACGAUUGAUAAAAAAGCAAG
rnacentral:misc_RNA from 1 species